AUUGAACGCUGGCGGCAGGCCUAACACAUGCAAGUCGAGCGAGCGGCGGACGUGUGAGUAACACGUGGGCAACUACCCAUCAGAGGGGGAUAAAACUUGGAAACAGGUGCUAAUACCGCAUACUGAUGGAUGUCUCGCGGUGCAUUAGCUAGUUGGUGAGGUAAAGGCUCACCAGGGCCACGAUGCAUAGCCGACCUGAGAGGGGGAUCGGCCACACUGGGACUGAGACACGGCCCAGACUCCUACGGAGGCAGCAGUGGGGAAUAUUGCACAAUGGGCGCAAGCCUGAUGCAGCCAUGCCGCGUGUAUGAAGACGGCCCUAGGGUUGUAAAGUACUUUCCGUCGGUAGGCGUUACCGACAGAAGAAGCACCGGCUAACUCCGUGCCAGCAGCCGCGGUAAUAC
rnacentral:rRNA from 1 species